UUUCCGUAGGUGAACCUGCGGAUGGAUCACUACAGGCUUGCAAAGGCUCUGAAACCACUGUUUAUCUACCUGAAUCUGCUUCGGCGGGCGGCCCCAGGGCGGGGCCGUAGCCGCAAGGCGCCCGCCGAAGACCCCUAAACUCUGUCGUCUUGGGAAUCUCUGAGUAUCAUAUUAAACAAAAAACAACUUUCAACAACGGAUCUCUUGGCUCUG
rnacentral:misc_RNA from 1 species